ensembl:Y_RNA Y_RNA Y RNA
GGCUGGUCCGAGUGCAGUGGUGUUUACAACCAGUUCCAGAUUUCUUUGUUCCUUCUCCAAUCCCACUGCUUCACUUGACCAGCCUUGA